rnacentral:rRNA from 1 species
UACGGGGGGAGCAAGCGUUGUUCGGAUUUACUGGGCGUAAAGGGCGCGUAGGCGGUAGCACAAGUCAGUUGUGAAAUCUCCAGGCUUAACUCGGAAAGGUCAACUGAUACUGUGCGACUAGAGUGCAGAAGGGGCAACUGGAAUUCUCGGUGUAGCGGUGAAAUGCGUAGAUAUCGAGAGGAACACCUGCGGCGAAGGCGGGUUGCUGGGCUGACACUGACGCUGAGGCGCGAAAGCCAGGGGAGCGAACGGG